rnacentral:rRNA from 1 species
GACGAACGCUGGCGGCGCGCUUAACACAUGCAAGUCGAACGGAAAGGCCUGCUUUCCCUUGUGGGUUGCGGGUACUCGAGUGGCGAACGGGUGAGUAACACGUGAGUGAUCUGCCCCCAACUUGGGUAUAAGCCUGGGAAACUGGGUCUAAUUACCGAUAGGACUGCAGGGUGGUGCCUGUGGUGGAAAACGAUUUUCUAGUGGUUGGGGAUGAGCUCGCGGCCUAUGAGCUUGUUGGUGGGGUAAUGGCCUACCAAGGCGGGGACGGGUAGCCGGCCUGGGAGGGUGGACGGCCACAUUGGGACGGAGACACGGCGCAGACGCCAACGGGAGGCAGCAGUGGGGAAGAUUGCACAAUGGGCGGAAGCCUGAUGCAGCGACGCCGCGUGGGGGAUGACGGCCUUCGGGUUGUAAACUCCUUUCGACCGAGAGGAAGCCACCUGGUUGGAAGGGUGGUGACGGUAGUGGUAGAAGAAGCACCGGCUAACUACGUG